GCUAGAUUUAAUUACAGACAUCAUCGCUUGCACUAACCACAUCCAAACCUGAUAUUCUAAACAACUAAAGUUUAUUUUGUAAUCGUCCUCAAAAUGGCGAGUUCGGUUUUCACUUUUGGAAAUAGUUUUCUAGGAAUUUUCGCUUUCAUUUUACAGAUUGUGGCAUUGAUUGUUUCCGGUGCGCAGUGGAUACCUGAUUUGGUGAGUACUGGAAUUUGGGGAGGAAUCUUUCUCAUCUUUAACAGCUUCGUGAUCGCGAAAAAAAAAUGGAAGAGCUCUGAACCCAACAAGUUUUGGCAAUUUACGCCAUUUUAAUUGGCCUCACCUUAAUUGGGAUGAACUCGUGGAGCAUCAGUGCGUACCAACCCUUUAUCGCCGAUUGCCAACGGGUUCAAUUCGCUAGAAUCUCUUUGUGUGGUCGAGUGGCUAUCGAUUCCUUGUUGAUUUUGACCGGUAUUUUUACUGUCCUACUUAACGUAUGGAUUUACAGUGAGGCUUCAUCUUUGAUUGUUGGAAGCUAAAUAUUCCGUUUUAGCAGAAAUAGUAUAGCCCCUGCAAUGAAAUUAUAGCUGCAAUCAUUCUAAAGGAAAAAUACAAAAUUUGAGUCAUA